UCCAUCGCCGAGUUCCCCCUCCCAUAUCUCGCUGCUCUCCCAAAAUUCCCGCAUGCGUUAGGACACCCAAACUCCCAUCGCCAUGGCCAUAGCCGCUCCUCCUCCUCCUCCUCUUUUCCCCAUCGUCGUCCACUGCCGUUGGAUCCGGGUUCAGCGCUCCAAGGGCUUCGAUUUCAGCCUGGAAUCGUUGGAUUUAGCCCUCGUCUCUCCUCCAUGCGCUCACAUUAGGGCUUCUAUCUCGUGAAAGUUCGAAUGCUGGAUGCUCUGCCGAGCUCAAGGAGAGGAUGACUGGAGGUAGUUGCACAUGACCGUGAAAGGACCUAGUGUGGUGGAGGAGACAUGCAUUGCCCUCACACUUGGUCUCAUUGCUGGCGGUUUCUGGAAGAUGCGCCAUUGGAAACGAGCAGAGGAUUAACUCGGGCCGUCCAUGACAUGCUCAAGAAGGUCGAGAUCAGUGUUGUUGAAGAUGAUUAAUAUCUAGGCUCCUUCAAUUAUGUUGAUUUGGUCUUCUUUCUUUUCAUGCAAUAAGUUGGUAACGGUAUCUGAAGCUUUGAACUAUAAUAACGCCAAUUAUUACUCUGUA